rnacentral:lncRNA from 1 species
AUUUAUUUCAUAGGUCUGUUUUAAUUUCAUGUCUCACAGCAUACAUUAUUUAACCAAGAGGUGCUGGACAGAGAUUGUAAAAAGGGAGGAAACAUUUAGGAUAAGAAACCGGCUCAAUUCCAUUAGAAUUUGAUCCUAUCUUGUAAAGUCUUGCUAGGAUAAAUUUCUAUAAUACUUCUUUUGUGCUUACAAAAAAACAUUAACUUCUGAAUUUCCAAUGUUGUAAAUAAAAAAAUUUUACAAUUAGGUAUGCAUUCAAUUAACACACAAGGCAACCAAAUAAAUUCUGUCAUCAACAUUAGCAUAAUGUGUAUUUCCCGUCACUGCACUAACAUUAAACUAAACUUCAAACCACAAAAACAUUGUGACUAACAUUAAAAAGGCAAGCUGUAAGAUACUCAAAGCUUAUAAAGGACAAAUUGCACAUGGUUAAGAUGGGACAUCAUUUGACAAGGGCUGGUGUUGUGCAUAUGGCUGCUUUUUUUUAUAAGAAGGCCACCGGCAAACAGGGCAACAAUGUCGGCCCCCAGCCAACCACAUCACAAUGCAAUUCUGAUGAAACACAUGACCACAAGGCAACCCCAUUAGCAAACAUCCAUUUUCAAAAUUCUCUAGGCAAACAACACAUUCAGUACAGUGCAGCAUAUCAGCAGGCCAAGUUAACCAAUCAGGUUCCAUAUCUUCAUUAGUGUUAUAUGAUCCAUAUGACCUCCCCUUCCUUUCACAUGGGCUGGUCUGACAAUAUUUAUUGGCACAUGAACAAGCCUCAGCAUCACAGUGACUUGCUGUUCCUGGAGAAUUGUGAAGUACGCUUUGCUUAUCUUCAAAUACUUCCUUCUCACUACUCAAAGUGUCUGUGUUCUCACUUUCCGAGUCAUUUUCAGUAUCUUGAGACCCCUCCGACAUUUCCUCUUCAGACUGGACUCCAAGACAUUUAAAUCGCCACAUUGUGUUCAGCAUUAUAAAUGGUUUUGAUCCGAGAAGCUGCAUGAGCAGUUAUCCAUUUAAAAAUGUGCUCUACUUCAAUCUUGCGUCCACUGUAUUCUUUAAGCAUGACUUUCCCUUUUGAAGUACUUGUUUGUGGAACAGACAUAAUGAGUGUGGAUCGGACCCAGCCUCUUCUCC